UUUGGCGGUUAUUCUCUUGUAUAUGGCUGCAUGGUGAGGUUGUCUAUGUGAUGAAUCAAGAAGUGUAUAAAAGAAAGGUUAAAGAAGCUUAAAGAAAGAAGAAUGAGAAACAAAGAUUGAUAAUAUUCUCAUUGAAUGAAUUGAAUUGAAUGAAUUAGAAGUGAGCCAAUAUGAAUUAUUUAUACAAGAGAAAAUAAUGAAAAGAAACCUUAUAAAGCAAGUAACUAACAUAAACCUAACUUACUAAUUCAUUACUUUCUAACCAAUUAUUAUCUUCCAAAAUAACCUAUCGUAUAUCUUUAAUAUCCCCCCUCAAGCUGGUGAAUGAAAUUAUUUACUCUUCAGCCUGGAAUUGAAUUCAAGUAAUAACAACACUUAACCAUCCACGACAUAAGCUAUAUCAUCAAACGCUUAACCAUCCAUAGCAGAAACUAUAUCUUUGCUUAACCACCAUGGAUAGAAGCUACCCAUCCAAUGCUUAACCAUCCAUGAGAUAAGUUAUAUCUGAGCUUAACCAUCAUGGACAGAAGUGAACCAACCAUUGAUGAUGAAAGAGAGAGAAUAGAUCAGAAUCUUGAUCCUAAUGAGAUGCUUCAAUGAUGAAUAAGAAAUAGGGGUAAAUGAUGAAGAAUAAGAAAAUGAUUUAAUAUUGUAUAUGAUAAAUUGAUGAUGAAUGAUGAUAAAUGUUGAAUCUUGGAAUGAUGGAGCCAUAAUCAGAAGCAUUUCCUUGUAAAAGACCUCCUUGAACAUAAGCAACCAGGUCUCGGGUGAAGAUUAUUGAUGAAUUUGUGCAUUUGAAAGAAGAACAAAGCAUUAGUGGUUCAAUAUGAAAGAAUAAUGAGUAUUCUUGAUGGUCUUCUUUAUGGUUUUGAGGAGUUAAUAAAGGUGAUUAAAGAGGAUGAAAAAUAAGUUGCACUACUUCGAUAAGGUAGUCCACCUACACCCCCUUGAUUUACGCUAUGAUCAUCACUAUCCUUAGCCAUAGUGUAAGAUUUCUCACUUUGAUGAUUGAUGCAUAACCACCAUAGGCAGAAGCAACUUCAUCCAAAGCUUAACCAUCUAUCUUGACAGAAGCUUAACCAACCAAACCAACCAUAAUGGAUAAAAGAGAGAAAAACAGAUCUUAAUCUUGAUCCUAAUAUGAUGCUUCAAUGAAGAAAAAUACACACUAAAAAUAAUGUUGUGUGUUUAAUGAGAGAUAUAAAAAUAGAGUAUGAAUAAAAUAAAGGGUAAUUGGUGGUUGAAAAGUAAAGUUGAUAGUGCUUUGAAAGAUAUGACUCUUAGUAAGCCAAAUAGUGCACGAGAAGCACCUUCUGAGAUACUUGAUUGUAUGAAUAACGGCUACUGUGAACUCCUCCAAAACUAGAUAGGACAUAUAGAAAUCAGAUUAAAAAGUGUCACACACUUUUGCUGAAGUAUUAUGACUCAUGUCUAAACAUCAAAUGUAUAAAGAAGCUUUUUUCCAAAUCUUUCUCUAUGUUUACAAGCUCUUCACCAUAUAGUUUUUGCUCAAAUACCCAAAUCCAUAUUCUUGCUAAAGAAAAACUCCAAUAAGAACUAGGCUAAACGUGUUGGAAAACACAUAGAUAACCACAUCAUGCAGCCAUAUACAAGAGAAUAACCGCCAAACCUCAUGUGUAUGAACAACCUUGUUCACUUGUAGAGCACCCAUCUUUUCUAAUGUGAGUAAAGAAGGACCAGGAAGAAGGUUAUGUUUGAGAGUUGCCAAGAUUCACUGGUAAUAAUAACUCAUACACCUCAUACAAUCAUGAUUUUCAUCAAAGAUGCCUCAAUCCUCCUUUGGACACUGAAAGUAUUCCACCUGAUGGUGAUAAUACAUUACUAAAUCAAGAAGAAGAACUAAAUACCAUCAUGGCUCUUUGUUGAAAUUUGUUGUAUGUAACAAAGUUGAAACUUAAUUGGAGAAUAUAAAAUGCCAAUGUUGUAGCCUUGAAGAUGUAGGUCUUGUAUGUUUCCAAGCUCUUCUUGUCAACGACAGCACCUCUUCCUUUGGGUGCUUCUUUCCAACCUUGGAUUUCUUCUCUGAUGGUGAUGACUUUUCCAAUGGCUUCUUCUCAGCCUUGGGUAUUGAGAUGGGGAAGAAGAACCACAAUCUUAUUUAUUGUAAUGAGAAUCAUAAUGAUUCUUUGUUGAAUCUUGGAAUGAUGGAGCCAUAAGUGGAAGCUAACAAAAGAAUAAUUAUGCUCUGAUACCAUGUUAAAAUGGUAGGAGACAUGAUUGAAAUCUUCUUCAUGAAACAAGAAAGAUGAGAGAAGAAAAUAUCAUUCAUUAAAUAUUGAAAAACAAAAUUACAUUGAAUCAUUUAUAUAAAGGAUAGAAAAACUAACUAUCCUAACCAAACUAACUAACCACUCAACUAUUUUAACAUUCCCCCGCAAGCUGGAAUAUAUUAAGCAUUCCAAGUUUGAAAUAAUUGUGUUGAACACAAUGAUAUACUCUAAUACAUCCUCUUGUUGGUGAGUGAAUAUUCAUCUCUCAGUCUUGAAAUCUGAAUGCGAAGCAACACUGACGCUUAACCACCAUAGGCAGAAGCAACUUCAUCCAAAGCUUAACCAUCUAUUUUUCACAGAAGCUUAACCAACCAAACUAACUAACCACUCAAAUAUUUUAACAAGUUACGUAGCACUGAUUCUGAAAGCCCAAACCAAGGCCUAAAGGAUUUGCAAGCACCCUUCACUCACAAUUGAACCUUUCCUCUUUUGGCAACUUUUCAUAUUUAUGUUUUUAUCGUUAUUAGGAUAGUUUCCAUAUUUAUUAAUUUUUCUGUUUUAUUAUUAGCAGGUUUUCUCUUCUUCCUCAGUUGACUUUCUCAUAUAAAUAAAGUCAUUGUGUGUUAGUUUCAAUGAUCAAGUUUUAAAAAAAUAAUCAUUUCCAUCAAUUUGAUCAUCAUACAAGAAAUCAAAGUUUGAUUCUUGUUUUUCGGUUUUGAUCUUGUUGCUUAGUUAAGCUUGUAACACCGCGAAUUUUAUGAUUUUGAAUUAUAAGAUUUUAUUAAUAUUUUUAUUAAUUAAAUUUUCGAAAAUGAAUUUUUGGGAAUUUUCGGUAAAGAAUUAGACGAAACUCUAGUUGAGUUUUAGUCUUAAAAUUCUAUUUCCAAUUUAGUGGUAAAUGUUCAUGAUUUUCGGAGACAUUCGGUUUCGGACCGCUGUCGGGGCCGAAUCUCACCCGGUACGGCUCAAAAAGUGGUUUUUGAGUUCCGUAACUCGGAAUCAAAUUCUGAUCGUGCCGUUGGCUUCGUAAUCACCUUUCGAGACAAGAUAGACCCUGAGUUGGUCCAUAACUAUUUUCUAAAAUAUUUUCUCAGAAUGCCGAAAUUCGAAGUUCCAACCGUAAAUUAAAAUCGGGCGAUCAUUUUUGGCUACUCGAAUAUUGGCCGACAAUACUCGAGCAUGGUGUUAAUCGCGCACGUUUCGCCGAAGUCGUCGCGUCGCAUGAGUCACUUCACAAAAUCUAACCACUAAAUCUUAUAGAUUUGCCUUGAUUUACUAUCACCAAAUCCCCUAAAUCACUCACUUAACCCAUGAUUCACUCACCCAUGUAUCCUCAUGCACUAACACUUUGCAAAAAUUUGUCAGUUGGAAGAUUUGAGAGUAAGUUACUCUCAUCAUCUUUUCUUCUUCAUUUUCUUCUUCUUUCAAUCUUCAAUCUCUUCACAUUCAACCAAUGGAUGUUGACUAUAUUGAAGUAUGUUGUUCAUGAGUAUGUCAAGAACAUAUUCAACCGUUGAAAUUUUCUAAAACACUUUCUAACUCAUUUUGGAAGCAAAACCGAAAAUGAGUGUUCUUGAACUCAUGAAAAAUGUGUUUUGAAACUAUGAACAAGUUGUUUUCAAGAAGUUAUUACAUUUUUUUAAUAUAUGAAUUUUUACUUGUUUAAGCCUUUAACCAUGGCUUUGGACAAGUUGGAAAAUGGAUGGAUGAAAGAGUUUUAAGUACUUUAAUAGUAAUGAGUUUGGAAAUAUCGGCAAACUAACAAGUUUUAUUAUGGUAGUUACGAAGAUUUCCGGCAUUUGAACCUUGCAACCCAACCGAACCAUAGUGAUUUCGUAAAGCACGCUUCAUUAAGGUGAGAGAGAACACAUCGUGACAUAGUGGUGUGCGAAUAUGACACCCGGAUCUCCUAAACCAUCUCAAAGGUUUUGGAGUUAACUUGGAUUUUAAGAAACCCAAGAUUUUGUAUGUUUCUUUUGAAUAUAUAUGAUUGUUGAUGAAAUGUGUUGAAUAUUGUAUAUGAAUGUUGUUGGGAACUUUCUAUGUGCAGGUGUGUGAAAAACCAUGUUUAAAUGUGUUUUUGGUUGUCGAAAAGGGCAAAAUUGGUAUUCUGUCCAAGUCCUUGUCGCUUGGACGAGAAACUCUCGCUUGGGCGAGCACAGCCUCGCUUGGGCGAGGACUGGGCAAGGGGAAGUUUUGGUUCUGGAAUUCCCUCACCUGGGCGAUAGAAUCUCGCUUGGGCGAGCAAGCCUCGCAUGGGCGAGAACGCCCAGGAUUUUUAUGAGCCCCUGUAACUCUCUCGCUUGGGCGAGAGAUGUCUCGCUUGAGCGAGAAGAGGCCUCGCUUGGGCGAUAGUACCUUCGCCUGGGCGAGGAAGGCUUCAGUUUAUUUGAGAUUUAAAGAUGAAUUGUCACUUGGACGACUUGUCCCUGCUUUGGCGAGGGGCAGAGUGGAAAGAUUGAAAUAAGAUGAUGUUGUGAACAAUGCGAUGAACCCGGGUGUUGUGGUGUAAAGUUGUGGAAUGAGAUCAUGUCUUAAAUGGUAUAAAGAUGAUGUUGUGAAAGUAUUGUUUGUGUUUAUGCCUUGUUGGGCAAGUAUCCGACUUGAGGUCGUGAACUAGGGGGGUACCCUAGUAAGGAUACAUGAUAUCACUGAACAACGAUCGACCGACCGUAAGAGGCUUGGUCAUGUGACCGUCCAGGGGUAUUCGGUGAUGGGUUGUUGUGAUUGAGAUGUUACCUUGAGCAUGUACGGUUGACGUACUAUCGGGUCCCACGAGAAGCAUUCCUUGUCGGGAGAUGGCUUAAGGAUGGGCCGAUCAUGUGUUUGAUUAAUACAUUUGCAUUUGAUUUUGAUUAAGAAUGCAUUGCAUUGUGACCAUGAAGUAGUGGAGAGGAAAUGACGGGACGACUUAGAGCACCAUGAUGUAAGUAGGGAUGACACUGAUUGGACGAUGAUUCGCCAACAAUGUCUUGAGGGAGAGUCUGGGUGAGACGAGUCCCUUGUAUUCUUGGGGAGGUACCCUAUUGGAUCAGACAGAUCUCACAGGCCAAACUAGGCAAUCUCUGACAAUCCCUGGAUUGCAUUCGAGAUCGAUGAGAGGGAUGCUCAAAAAGCGUCUGUACGACCUAGAUCCGGGUAGGACUGUUCCUAAGGGAACUGGUCGAUCUAUUGUUAAUUCCUUGCGAGGUUAUGUUAUUUCGGGUGCAUACAAAGAGGCUUGGUAAGGGACCUGUACUCUCGAUUAUUUCCGAUUAGGAUGUUGGAUGGAUAUUGGUGUAAGGUGGAUAAUCAUGACAUAUUAUGCAUAGAUUAUCAUUGUGGAAGUGAAUUCCCACAUGUGAGUUACAAGCAUUGUGUUUUCCUAUGUUUAUGCAUGUGAUAUGGUUAUGAGUAGAAUGUUGACUAUAUUACNNNNNNNNNNNNNNNNNNNNNNNNNNNNNNNNNNNNNNNNNNNNNNNNNNNNNNNNNNNNNNNNNNNNNNNNNNNNNNNNNNNNNNNNNNNNNNNNNNNNUAUAUGAACUGUUUUUCAUAUCUGAGUGUGAUAUUCUGAGUAAGUCCACGCCGUCAAUGAAUUUAUGUUCAUUAGAUGUCUUACUCUCUUUGCUGUAUUGUUCUCGUUUUGUAUAUAUUUGCUAUGCAAAUGGCCAACAACAACACUCAUAUUCGAGGUUAUCACUUCACGAUAUCCCCGAUGGGACAGUGGACUAGUGACGGGCACAGAUAUACAUACACAGGCCCCUGCGGUCUAUCAUUGCACAUAGUAUGAAACGGGUCAUCGAUGAUGAUCUCUCAACCCGACACCUACAUUGACACUUCCUUCACCUUGCCGCCAAAGAGGCUGAUGUCUCCAGAGGUUGGACUUCGAUACCCGCAAGUCAAGAGUGAUGGUGUUGUUCCCUCCCACGGUUAUAGGACAUGGUCAGAUUGUUUGGGUGCUCCGUCAUCCAGUAGAGCCAAGAGGAGCAGUUGUCUUGGAGGGGGUCCCCGCAGGAAGGCUCUAGUGUUGAGAAUGUCAUCCCCUCCGAAUUAUGCCGCUGGGUUAUGGCAUAAUGAAGUGGAGGAAGAGGAGGAGGAGGACGAGGUCGUUGAGCUCGUCAAUGUAGAGAGCUCGGUGGAGGUGAUCGACCUCGUGUCUGACUCGGAAGAGGAGGAGGACCCGAGUGAGAGGUGCAACAUUCCUGGAAUCUUUUGAGUCAGCUUGUGGACCAGUCGAUGUCCCCUUUUGUUUUUGGUGGGGGCUGUGUUUCUUUUGAUUUUGUAUAUGUUAGUGGCGAUGUAGUUUCCGCCUUUGCUGACCUAGUCUGUAUGAACUGACUAUGACUUAACCGAUUAUAUACAUCGUAUUAUUCAGGAAAUUGUGAAUCAGGUUAAGUUAUCAUUCGAUAACGAUAAGUUUUUAAAAGGGAAGUUUUUAAAAUAAUCAUUUCCAUCAAUUUGAUCAUCAUACAAGAAAUCAAAGUUUGAUUCUUGUUUUUCGGUUUUGAUCUUGUUGCUUAGUGAAGCCAAGAUUUUCUGUUCUUUUCAACCAUGAAAACCAUGUCGUCACACAGAGAAUGGAAACUCAAAAAGGACAUCAUGGAUAUAAGUAUUCUUUAAAAAUAAAUGAAAAAAAGGAUAUUCAUAAAAGAUGAAACUUCAAUAAAUAUAUACAGUAAAGAUGAAACCUUAGAUGUAUUUUCACUAAAUGAAAAAAAAGUUACAUAAUAAAGGGAAAAAAUUUACAAAACAAAUAGACAAAAUCAGUCAUCAAACCAAGGGUUCCAUGGAUGCAAAAAAAUGGAGAAAAAAAUCACACCUUUGCAAGAAAGAUGAAUCUGAUGUUAAACAUCCAGAAGUUGAAAAUAGAGAGUGAGAAUAAAAGUCCAUUGUAAAGGUAAGUUAAUAGCAAGAGAUUAGAGAUAAAACUCAUAACUUUACUGUAAAAGAGCCAACUUUACACAUAAAAUGGAAACUCAAAAAAGACACCCGCUGAUAUAAGUGAUCUUCAAAAAAUAAGUGAAAAAAAUAUACUCACAAAAAAUGAAACUUUAGUAAAUAUACACGUUAAAGAUAAAACUUCAAAUGUAUUUUCACAAAUAAAUGAAAAAAGGUACACAGUAAAGGAAAAAAGUACCAAAAAAACAUACACAGUAAAGGAAAUAAAUUACAAAGCAAAUAGACAAAAUCAUCAAAGAUCUCAUUGAUACAAAAAAAUAGAAACAAAAAUCAUACCUUUGUUAGAAAGAUGAGUCUAAGGUUAAACAUCCAGAAGCUGCAAAUAGAGUAUGAGAAUAAAAGUUCAUUGUGAGAAACAUAAUGUUGAGAGAGUGAGACAUGAAAAAAAAUAAGUUAAUAGCAAGAGAUUGGAGAUAGAAAAUCAUACCUCUACUGUAAAAGAGCAAACUUUACACAGAAAAUGGAAACUAAAAAAAAAUGAAACCAUAGUAAAGAUGAAACUUCAGAUAUAUUUUCACAAAUAAAUGGAAAAAAAGUAUAGUAAAGGGAAAAAAUUAUAAAACAAAUAGACAAAAUCAGGUACCAAAUCAAAGGUUCCAUAAACAUUCAUAACCGAGUAAAGAUAACUCCUUUUCAAAUAAGUUGUAAAGGAAAUAGACAAAACAAAUUGAAGAAAGGAAAGGUUUCAUGUUACAACAAAAAAUUAACAUUCUUUGUCAACCUUUGUGUAAGUGAUGAACCAUAUAUUACCUUAAGUAUGAGCUUGCGCUGAGUUUAAAAGCAAGAGUGAAAGAUAAAUGAAGAUUAUGAAAGAAGAAUUGAAGAGGGAGACAUG
rnacentral:lncRNA from 1 species